UACGGAGGGAGCUAGCGUUAUUCGGAAUUACUGGGCGUAAAGCGCACGUAGGCGGCUUUGUAAGUAAGAGGUGAAAGCCCAGAGCUCAACUCUGGAAUUGCCUUUUAGACUGCAUCGCUUGAAUCAUGGAGAGGUCAGUGGAAUUCCGAGUGUAGAGGUGAAAUUCGUAGAUAUCGGGAGGAACACCGGUGGCGAAGGCGGCGAUCUGGGUCGAUACUGACGCUGAGGUGCGAAAGCGUGGGGAGCAAACAGG
rnacentral:rRNA from 1 species